CAGAGAUCCGUUAGGCAUGUACGGGUCGUUGUUCAUAUUUGGCAUCAUGAUAUACCCCGAGUAACCAGAGUACGAUGGUCCCUUGCUGUACAAGCCGCCGUCGGGAUGCUUUCCUUCCUCGGGGUGCUCCCUGCCCUUGUCAUGGUAGGAAUCCUGCGCUGGAGUCUGCCUGGAAACCUCGUGCCCGCCGGAGCCGGGCGCGAUCUCGGACUCGUUGACCAGCGAGGACUUGAUGUCGGCCAGGUCGCCCUCUUCCUCGGGGUGGCUGAUCUCGGCGAAGAUCUUCUCCUUCUGGGGGUCCCCUUCGUCCUUGAAGGGGAUCAUCUCGUCGGUGGCGCAGAGCUCCGGGUCCCCCCCGCCGCCCCCGGCCCCCGGCAGCUGCGGCAUCCUCGCGGCAGCGCGGCGUCUGCUGCGGCCGCCGGCCCGCCGCGGGAAGGGAGCGGGAGGAGCGGCGGGGGAGGAG
rnacentral:lncRNA from 1 species